UGUGCAACCCAGUGCAGCAGCCCAAGCUGCACUGGCUGCUGCACUGUGUGCAGCUUGGGCUGCUGCACUGGGUUGCACAGAGGUGCAGCAGCUAGUCUAGCUGCUGCACUGUGUGCAACCCAGUGCAGCAGCCCAAGCUGCACU